rnacentral:rRNA from 1 species
GUAGGUGGCAAGCGUUGUCCGGAAUUAUUGGGCGUAAAGCGCGCGCAGGCGGUUCUUUAAGUCUGAUGUGAAAGCCCACGGCUCAACCGUGGAGGGUCAUUGGAAACUGGAGAACUUGAGUACAGAAGAGGAAAGCGGAAUUCCACGUGUAGCGGUGAAAUGCGUAGAGAUGUGGAGGAACACCAGUGGCGAAGGCGGCUUUCUGGUCUGUAACUGACGCUGAGGCGCGAAAGCGUGGGGAGCAAACAGGAUUAGAUACCCUGGUAGUCCACGCCGUAAACGAUGAGUGCUAAGUGUUAGGGGGGUUUCCGCCCCCCUUAGUGCUGCAGCUAACGCAUUAAGCACUCCCGCCUGGGAGUACGGCCGCAAGGCUG